GUUAAUAUGUCCGAGUGGUUAAGGAGACAGACUCAAAAUCUGUUGGGCUAUGCCUGCAUAGGUUUAAAUCCUACUGUUGACA